rnacentral:rRNA from 1 species
GACGAACGCUGGCGGCGUGCUUAACACAUGCAAGUCGAACGGAAAGGCCCUGCUUUUGUGGGGUGCUCGAGUGGCGAACGGGUGAGUAACACGUGAGUAACCUGCCCUUGACUUUGGGAUAACUUCAGGAAACUGGGGCUAAUACCGGAUAGGAGAUCCUGCUGCAUGGUGGGGGUUGGAAAGUUUCGGCGGUUGGGGAUGGACUCGCGGCUUAUCAGCUUGUUGGUGGGGUAGUGGCUUACCAAGGCGUUGACGGGUAGCCGGCCUGAGAGGGUGACCGGCCACACUGGAACGGAGACACGGUCCAGACUCCUACGGGAGGCAGCAGUGGGGAAUAGUGGACAAUGGGCGCAAGCCUGAUCCAGCCAUACCGCGUGGGUGAAGAAGGCCUUCGGGUUGUAAAGCCCUUUUGUUGGGAAAGAAAAGCAGCAGGUUAAUACCCCGCUGUUCUGACGGUACCCAAAGAAUAAGCACCGGCUAACUUCGUG